UGAGGUACCUCGGGUUCUGGGCUUUACUCCGUGUAUGGGGCUGGGAACCAUGACCAUCUGACAGACAACCAGAGGAGCUAAAGAGUCACAGUUGUAAUUUGAAUGUACUGAAUUGAUAGCAGCUAACUCACAGAUAGCACAUUUGUAAAAAGGUGUAGUAUCAUGAUUAUGGGGAAAUAAGUGUCCAUAAGUAGCCAUAGGUAACUUUGAGUCUGGGGAAGUUUUGUUCAGUUGCUGGAGACUCUGCCACACCAACCACAGGUUUUUGACUCAGGAUGACUUCCUGUGUAUUUUCCCUCUUCUUCUUGGUCUCCCUGAUUUCAUCCAUCACUGUCGCCGAUCCUACCGGCCUUAAACUGCGAAUCACAGACAGAGGGCUGGGUGUUUUGAAGGGUCUUGGUAUCAUGUUUUUAGAAGAACUGGAAAACAAAGUUUUACCAGACAUUUCAAUA